rnacentral:rRNA from 1 species
GUGCCAGCCGCCGCGGUAAGACGAACCGUGCGAACGUUGUUCGGAAUCACUGGGCUUAAAGGGCGCGUAGGCGGCCCGCCAAGUCCGGGGUGAAAUCCUCCCGCCCAACGGGAGAAGUGCCUUGGAUACUGGCGGGCUCGAGCGGGGUAGGGGCAUGUGGAACUUCCGGUGGAGCGGUGAAAUGCGUAGAUAUCGGAAGGAACGCCGGUGGCGAAAGCGACGUGCUGGACCCCCCCUGACGCUGAGGCGCGAAAGCCAGGGGAGCGAACGGGAUUAGAAACCCUCGUAGUCC